UCAUCUCCGUGCUCGCCUGCUCUACGCUCCUCGUCUUCCUCGCCACCGCCUACUUCCUCACCCGCCCCCGCCCCGUCUACCUCGUCGACUUCGCCUGCUACAAGCCGGGGCCCGAGCUCCGGUGCUCGCGCGACACCUUCAUGCGCUGCUCCCGCCUCACGGGCUCCUUCACCGACGCCAGCCUCGAGUUCCAGCGCAAGAUCCUCGAGCUCUCGGGGCUCGGCGAGGACACGUACCUCCCGCCCGCCGUGACGCGGGUGCCCCCCAACCCGUCCAUGGACGCGGCGCGCGCCGAGGCACGGGAGGUCAUGUUCGGCGCCGUCGACGAGCUCCUCGCCAAGACGGGGGUGCGGCCCAAGGACAUCGGGGUACUCAUCGUCAACUGCAGCCUCUUCAACCCGACGCCGUCGCUGUCGGC
rnacentral:lncRNA from 1 species